rnacentral:rRNA from 1 species
CCUACGGUGGGCAGCAGUGAGGAAUAUUGGUCAAUGGACGAGAGUCUGAACCAGCCAAGUAGCGUGAAGGAUGACUGCCCUAUGGGUUGUAAACUUCUUUUAUAUGGGAAUAAACUGUUCCACGUGUGGGCUUUUGUAUGUACCAUAUGAAUAAGGAUCGGCUAACUCCGUGCCAGCAGCCGCGGUCAUCCGGAGGUACCGAGCGUUAUCCGGAUUUAUUGGGUUUCAAGGGAGCGUAGGGGGAUUGUUAAGUCAGUGGUGAAAGUUUGCGGCUCAACCGUAAAAUUGCAGUUGAAACUGGCAGUCUUGAGUACAGUAGAGGUGGGCGGAAUUCGUGGUGUAGCGGUGAAAUGCUUAGAUAUCACGAAGAACUCCGAUUGCGAAGGCAGCUUACUGGACUGCAACUGACACUGAGGCUCGAAAGUGUGGGUAUCAAACAGGAUUAGAUACCCGAGUAGUC